rnacentral:rRNA from 1 species
CUCUUCUUGUUAGUUUUUGAAGUAUGGCCUGCCCGCUGACUUGAGUGUUGAAGGGCCGCGGUAUUUUGACCGUGCAAAGGUAGCAUAAUCAUUAGUUCUUUAAUUGUGAUCUGGAAUGAAUGGCUUGACGAGACACAAGCUGUCUUAAAUUAGGAUGUUUUAUUGAAUUUGGUUUUUGAGUUAAAAUUCUUAGAUGUUUUUAUGGGACGAGAAGACCCUAUAGAGUUUAACAUUUUGCUUGCUUUUUUAUUUAUUGUUUGUUUGGUUUUAGUAAGUGGGCUUUUUGUUUUGUUGGGGUGAUGAGAGGAAUAUAUUUAACUCCUCUUUAUUUUGGUUAUAUUGAUUUAUAUUUGUUUGAUCCAUUUAUUUUGAUUAUAAGAUUAAAUUACC